rnacentral:rRNA from 1 species
GAAGACAUGGGCGUGAUUGACAGGCUAAUGACUUUUCUCGAUUCCAUGGAUGGUGGUGCAUGGUCGCACUUAGUUGGUGCAGUGAUUUGUCAGGUUUAUUCCGGUAACGAAACGAGACCCUCGGCCCUUGUAAAAUAGCUAUGCUGCUUACAGGGACCAUUGGCGGCUACGCCCAGGAAAGCUCGAGGCGAAUUGCAGUUUCUGGAAAUGCCCUUAGAUGUCCUGGGUCGCACGCGUGCUACGAAUGACGCCCACGAACGAGCUUGCGUGAAGAAAAGUUACGCAUAAUCAGCCAUUGGGCUUCUUAAGGGGAUAUUCUCUUGUAACUGUGGGACUCCGACUAGGAAUGUCUCGUAAGCACGAGUCGAACUUCUUGUGUUGAUUACGUCCCUGCCCUUUGUCCCCCCGCCCGUCGCUCCUACCGAUCGGAGUGUUUAGGUAAAUGGAUGGACGUAAGGGAGUCAGAAUAACAGAGCAAUUGAGCGGAUAAGUCUACCUGC